AUUGAACGCUGGCGGCAUGCCUUACACAUGCAAGUCGAACGGUAACAGGUCUUCGGAUGCUGACGAGUGGCGAACGGGUGAGUAAUACAUCGGAACGUGCCCGAGAGUGGGGGAUAACGAAGCGAAAGCUUUGCUAAUACCGCAUACGAUCUCAGGAUGAAAGCAGGGGACCGCAAGGCCUUGCGCUCACGGAGCGGCCGAUGGCAGAUUAGGUAGUUGGUGGGAUAAAAGCUUACCAAGCCGACAAUCUGUAGCUGGUCUGAGAGGACGACCAGCCACACUGGGACUGAGACACGGCCCAGACUCCUACGGGAGGCAGCAGUGGGGAAUUUUGGACAAUGGGCGCAAGCCUGAUCCAGCCAUGCCGCGUGCAGGAUGAAGGCCUUCGGGUUGUAAACUGCUUUUGUACGGAACGAAAAGACUCUGGUUAAUACCUGGGGUCCUUGACGGUACCGUAAGAAUAAGCACCGGCUAACUACGUGCCAGCCGCCGCGGUAA
rnacentral:rRNA from 1 species